rnacentral:tRNA from 1 species
UAGAUAGUGACUGAAAAAGUAUUUAGUUGUUACCUAAAAUCAUGAAAACCCUCCUAUCUAA